rnacentral:tRNA from 1 species
AGAAGUUUAGGUUAAAACGAGACCAAGGGCCUUCAAAGCCCUAAGCAAGUAUAGUUACUUAACUUCUG